CUUGUACUUACUGCCAGCCUCCACUGCCAGCCCAACUCAGAACUUUCUGUUUUAGUUUCCCAAAGAGAAGCCCCAGCUGAUUUCCCUGUCCGUGAGUUGUGGAGAAUGCAGCAGUGGCGACUCCACCAUCAGAACUCCCCAAGUUCCAGGAACCUCACAGCCCUUAGCAUUGAGCCUGAGACGCCUUGUGUCCUGACACCGUGCAUUCUCCAGUGACCAGCAGCUGCCUGUCCAUCCCCCAAGAUUGGAAAGGCAGCAGCAGCCCCCAGGAGCCCAGGGCUGUCCUCAGUGUCUGCUGGUCUAGUGCAUCCUGCUGCAGAGGAAAACUGAGGACCUGAGGGGAGGUUCCAAGAUGGCCGAAUAGGAACAGCUCCAGUCUACAGCUCCCAGCAUGAGUGAUGCAGAAGACGGGUGAUUUCUGCAUUUCCAACUGAGGU
rnacentral:lncRNA from 1 species